rnacentral:lncRNA from 1 species
CCCCUUUCCGAAGACUCGGCUCCUAUUGGCCCAGGGGCCGGGGUUGAAACGCCCUAAUAGCCGGACCGGGGUGAUCAUGUGACUUGCGGGGGUGGGGCUGCGCCGGCCUCUUCCCAGCCAGCUUGAAAGGGUUUGCGUAACCGGCCUUGCGGGCCCUUAACGCGCUCCGUUAAAGCGCUCUGUGGGCGGCCUGGCCUCAACUCCCUUAGUCUAGGAGCACGAAGGGAUUUACUCCUAGCUCUCGUCCGUCCCGGGUUCGCUUUUCUUUCCUUCCCGAUGCCUGGCUUUUAGAUCCACUACCGCAGAGUCUGCGGCUGCCAGGAAGCCCAGAUUCGAGUGUCCGGAGAGUAACCGGAAGUGCUAUCCCCAGGCCUAGGGGCGGCGCCGGCGGCUGCAGGGAGAGGGAAGAAUUGAGUGUUGUGAAUAGUACUGGACUAGAGACCUUUUGAAACCAAAAGGAAGAUGUUCUUGAGUCUUUCUUGUUAUGAAUGCUAUCUUCCUUGAGAAGUCAAAUUCUCAGGAUCAGGAAUGUAUGUUUUCUUCCGUCUGGAUUCUAGGCUUGGAAAUACCAAGUAAGGAAUUAACAUAUAUGAUGCUGGAAACUUGUAGAGGCUCAUGACUGAAAGGCCUGAAACAGAUGUAUCUUCCAAGUUUUUAUCAAGAAAAUGACUGUGAGGGCAAUGAUGGGUCAAGAAGACCAGUGGAAAACUCC